GCAAUACAAAGCUUGAUCCAACUCUCACUGACUUCAUUAAAACAGUGGUUCUCAAAGCCGGUCCACCGCUUGUUCAGGGAAAGCCCCUGGCGGACCGGACUGGUUUGCUUACCUGCCACAUCCGGAGGUUCAGACAAUUGCGGCUCCCACUGGCCGCGGUUAGCUGCUCCAGGCCAAUGGGGAUGCGGGAAGGGCGGCCAGCACGUCCCUUGGCCCGCACCGCUUCC